GACAGAGGAUGCAAGCGUUAUCCGGAAUGAUUGGGCGUAAAGCGUCUGUAGGUGGCUUUUUAAGUCCGCCGUCAAAUCCCAGGGCUCAACCCUGGACAGGCGGUGGAAACUACCAAGCUGGAGUACGGUAGGGGCAGAGGGAAUUUCCGGUGGAGCGGUGAAAUGCGUAGAGAUCGGAAAGAACACCAACGGCGAAGGCGACCACCUGGACUGAUACUGACACUGAGGUGCGAAAGCGUGGGGAGCAAACAGG
rnacentral:rRNA from 1 species